rnacentral:lncRNA from 1 species
GAACCCCCAAAGGCCUUUUCCCAGUGCCGUGUGGACACUGGGCAGUGGUGGGUAGAGGAUGCAAGGCCCAGGCCCUUGGCUGGUAAGCAAGCAUCACUGCUGUGGAGACUUUGCUGGGCCGGGGUAAACAGCUGAAGCAGGAGAUGGGGAACACAGUGAUGGACAUUAUUCAGAACUACAGCGUCAAUGCCAGCAGCAGCCGCGAGGAGGCUUGGGACUAUGUGCAGGCGCAGGUGAAGUGCUGUGGCUGGGUCAGCCCCUCCAACUGGACACGUAACCCGGUGCUCAAGAACUCUACCAAGACCACUUACCCAUGCUCCUGUGAGAAGACGAAGGAGGAGGACAACCAGCUCAUUGUGAAGAAAGGGUUCUGUGAGUCUGACAACAGCACCGCAAGUGAAAACAGUCCUGAGGACUGGCCUGUGCACCCGGAGGGGUGCAUGGAGAAGGCUCAGGCGUGGCUACAGGAGAACUUCGGCAUCCUUCUGGGCGUGUGUGCUGGUGUUGCUGUCAUUGAGCUGCUGGGGUUGUUCCUGUCCAUAUGUUUGUGCCGGUACAUUCAUUCUGAAGAUUACAGCAAGGUCCCCAAGUACUGAGGCUGCUGAUGUCCCCACUGUCCUGUGUUUCUCCACCCUCAGUCUCCCACAGGGCCUCUAGAGCUUUCCCACAUGAGCCGUGCUCCAUCUACUACUGAGGCCUCUGGCCCACCCUGGGAAGGUUGUAGGAACUUUCUGGGCCUGGGCCCUUCUCCCUGCCUUUCUGCCACCAAUAUGGGGCCCUUACUGUCCUGUAGCUCUUCCUCCUACUGCCUGGAAUAUUUUUAACAGCUUGAAAUGGCUCCCAGUAUUACUGUACACAGGAUAGCUGGGUCCCCACCCUGAAGUCAUAUUAU